GACUGAGGUAGGGUCGGGAAUCCAGGUCUCUGGACACCACACACAAACACACACGCUGGGGCGGUAGCGUCGAGGAUGCACAACUAUUUUUAUCUUGGUGGGUUCAGGGCUGCCCACAUCUAGAGUUGGGCGUUCGUCAUGGCAACAAUGACGUCAUCAGCCCCCGCAGCCAAUUGGAGGGGGCCGGAAGCUGCUGGGCACGGGGAUGACAGGGCUGGGAGGGAUCGACAGGGUCUCCAGGCAGAGGAAGAGAUGGAUCUGCGGGGGUGGGGCGAAGCCCCGAUGCUGGACCCCAACUACCUUGAGCUCAGAAAAUCAAGUCAGAGCCCUUCAAGAUGGGAGGAGGCUCACCUGCCAACCCGAGGUCUCCUUGUUUGCUUGAAUACCUCCGGGGAUGAAGAGCUCAGUACCGUGCAGGGCAGCCGGUCCCAGACCCACCACCAUUAGGGGCUCCACUGGCCCCCUCCAGUUGUUACCCCCACCUGCUCCAGAGGAAUCUUUCAAAGCUCUCAGAUCUGACAUGACCUGCCCUGCUCCAGCACCUUCCACAGCUCCUAAUCACCCUGGGGAGAAAGUCUAACCUCUUCAACAUCAGCGCUAGAAGCCCUGGAAGUAGAUGAGUCCAUCUCACAUGCCCAGGUCCAGUGCUAAGAAACGGCCUCUGGCUGCUCCAUAAACACACAUGUCUGCACACCUCUGAGCAUUUCCACAUGCUGUUCCCUCCGCUCAGGUUGCCCUCAGUCACCUGGGCAAUCCCUACUCGUCCCUCCACCUCUUUGGAUGGAGUCCUGCCAAUGUGGGGUUGGUCUGGAGGGACAGCCAGGUCUGUGUGGGUUUAGAUCCUGACUCUAUUACCCACUGGGACACCUGGACAGAGCCUAUGAUUCUAUGAGCCUUAGUUUCCCCAUUUGUAACAUGGGAUUCGUCCUCAGAGAAUGGGUACCUUCUCCCCAUGGAACAGGCCCCCACUUUCUGACGUCAGUUGCACCCCCACUCGCCUACCCGAAGGCAGUUUCUCUAUUUUAAGAGGCUGCGGGCGGGGCUGAAAUCUAUCUGGGGCUCCGGGAGGGGCCUGGUUCCCCAGUGCUGCUCACUAGUCCAGCUGCACCCCUUCGUCUAUGCUCAGGCUCCCCACCCCGCCCCGCUCUUGCCUUGGCAAUGACCCCUGCCCUUCUCCUGCGCCUCCUUCCCCAUGCCAUCAGGAUCUCUACCUUGCAGCUCUACCCAUACCCUCCCUGAUCCCCAACCCAAAUCCAGGUGACAGCACCCCCCUUCACCUUCAGACAAGUUCACGGUCUAGCAGCCAGGUUCAAGGCCUGCCUUUCCCCAUUCUCCUCGGCCUCAGUGUCCAUUUCCCCACCCCUGUCCUUUCUGGCUUCUCUCAGCCUCAUUCAUUCCCCAAACACCAACCCCCUGCCCUGCCACCAGGGACUGCCUUCUCUGUCCCAAAGCCACUGGCAACCAUCAGUUCAGGUAGGUACCUUCUCCUGGGGUGCCUGAGGGUGCCCCAUGACACCUGACUCCUCGGCGGGAUCCCUGCUGCUCAGAUAUUCAUCUCCCCCAACAGGCUGGGAGAUCCAGGAGGGCAGUUCCAGGGGUGAACACCCCUCACCACCACCACUGCCUCUUGGAGCCAGGAGACUACAGGAGGCACUCAAUAAAUGUUUGUUGGGUAAAUGAUGAA